GGUCAGGACGAACGCUGGCGGCGUGCCUAACACAUGCAAGUCGAGCGAGGAGAUUCCUUCGGGAUGAUCCUAGCGGCGGACGGGUGAGUAACACGUGGGCAACCUGCCUCAUAGAGAGGAAUAGCCUUCCGAAAGGGAGAUUAAUACCUCAUAACAUUGCAGUUUCGCAUGGAACAGCAAUUAAAGGAGUAAUCCGCUAUGAGAUGGGCCCGCGGCGCAUUAGCUAGUUGGUGAGGUAACGGCUCACCAAGGCGACGAUGCGUAGCCGACCUGAGAGGGUGAUCGGCCACAUUGGGACUGAGACACGGCCCAGACUCCUACGGGAGGCAGCAGUGGGGAAUAUUGCACAAUGGGGGAAACCCUGAUGCAAGCAACGCCGCGUGAGUGAUGACGGCCUUCGGGUUGUAAAGCUCUGUCUUCAGGGACGAUAAUGACGGUACCUGAGGAGGAAGCCACGGCUAACUACGUGCCAGCAGCCGC
rnacentral:rRNA from 1 species